rnacentral:lncRNA from 1 species
GCACGAGUUGGGCGCCUCAGCUGAAGAUACUGAGUCACCCCUCCAUUUGUGGGUUCUUGAGUCACUCAGGGUGGACCUCUGUGGUGGAGGCACUACAGUUGGAGAGACCUCUAAUUCUGUUGACCUUUUUAGCGGACCAAGGCUUGAACGCUAGCUUUUUGCGGGAGAAGAAGAUGGGGUGCUUGAUCCCCAGAAAUGAGGAAGAUGGGUCGUUUACAAGGGAGGCAGUGGCCCAGUCACUGAGGCUGGUGGUGGUGGAGGAAGGAGGCAAGAUUUACAGGGACAAAGCCAAGGAGAUGAGAGGAGUGUUUGGAGACAGGGACAGACAGAACCAGUACGUGGAUACUUUGGUGAGUUGCCUGAAAGAGCAUAGGCAUAUCCAUAAAGCAAAAGCAUGCGCCGACUGAACCGAAUGGAAUGGAGGGUUUGAUGGGAUGGUAUUGGUUCAACACUUGCCACCAUUUUAGGUUUUUGAGAUUAAGUCUUUUGACCAGUGUAAUGAGAUGAUAUGUUACCUCAAAAUAAAUCUGAUUCCUUCCUACAUUGGCUUGUUUCAAUUGGCCUUUGGAAGUGCGUUUUUUGGUAUAGCAUUGACUAUAGUUUAUAAUUUUACGUUUGAGAGUUAAUAUUUUCAUUUCUGUCAAAAAGGUGUAUCAAAACGAAUGAUUCUGCAUUAGCAAAAGUUCAUUAUUUAAUUUGUCUAUGAUCAUAUUAAACAUUAUCUUAAGUUUUUAGUUAUAUUAAAUGUCUUUUUCUCAAUUGAAAUAAUUAUGAUGACACGAAGAACAGACAGGCAGCCCGCGGCCCACGGGGGCCUCUGCAAGAAUAUGAUGACUCCAAAGCAGACCCCUAAAAAUGAGUGACGAGUAAAAAACAAAAGAAGAGGGAGGACGAGAGAGGGAAAAAAAAUUGCUAGUUGCUCCUGAUUUCUGAUGACCCUAUAAAUUAGAAGAAUUGAAAACAUUACCAAAUGACCCGAAAAUAUAUAUAUUAUUAUUAUUAUUAUUAUUACCACGGAAGUCAAUCCAAAUGGUGGCUUGUAAUUUUCAUGGACAUUGAAGUUCUAACCUAAGUGGAAUUCAAAUUUCUCAUAUUGUGUGUAGGGACCUUCACACGGCAGGACAAUAAUUAAAGUAAUAUUUAACUAUCUAUAAACUUCAAUAAUAAACUAUAACCGUUUAUAAAAAAAUAAAAUAUAUUAAAUAUCACCCCAAGUUUAGUUUGGUAUUUGUUUUUUGAUUGAAUAGAAAAAAAUUAAAUAUUUGACUUUUUCUAUUCCAUUAAAAACAAUUUGUUAAUGUCAACUAAAAUGACUAAUUUGAGUUUAUUGAUAAUAAGUUACUUUAAUUAUGUUGGUUGAUAUCAAUAGAUUACUUUUAUCCGAAUAGAAAAAGUCAAAUAUUUUGGUUGUUUCUAUUCAACUAGAGGUAUCCAAUGGGUCAGACCACCCAUUUUGGCCUGUGGCCUGACACGCCAAAAGAUCGGGUUGGGCCGACAUGGGCCAAAGGAGUGGACCAUGCUGGGCUUAAGGAAAUAGUCUUGUCAUGCCAUUAUGUCAACCCAUUUGACCCUUUAAAUAUCACUUUUUACUAUUUAAUUUUGACUUAAAAAAUUAAAUUAAAUUUUUUAAUGAAAUGAGUGGCCCGUCGGCACAGUAUGACACAACACAAUUUUUAAGUGAGUCGUUUCAGACUAGCACAUUGGCCCAUAAUGAUCGACCUAGUAAACAUCGGGCCGUUUCGACCUGACACGACCCAUUGGACACCUCUAUAUUCAACCAAAAAACAAACAUCAUCUUAAUUUGAUUAAUUGAUAAUAAAAAUGAAUAAAUUACACAAAUGAUUUAUCUUAUCAAUUUAAGAAAAUGUUAAAGUAUCAAAUCACUAUCUAUAGGUCAUUUCAUGACAAAACUUAGGUCAUUAUAUGGUACAAAUAAUGAAACUAAAAUAUGAAAGAAUGGAAACAAAAUAUAAAUAUAAAGUAAUGAGAUGGAAUUGAUUGUAAAUCAAUGGGCCAAUACAAAGCAAUGAAAUCUAAUUACACAUGAUGCAUUAUGAUUGGUCUAUAAGUUUAUUGGUAAACCAAAGUUUGGUUAAUCUUAAUUUUGACAAUUGUUACACGAUGUUUAGAUUUAGUGAUUUUAUUUUAAGUAUAAGUAAGAAGACUUCUGGAAAGCCAACUAUAAAGAUAUAUCAAACGAAAAUGACAUUAAGAAAAAAAAAAGUCCAAAAUAAAAGGUAAGUAAAUAUCAUAUUUUCUAGGAUAUCUUUAUAAAAUUGUGGUGUACUAGAUUCUCAUUGCAUUGCAUCUUUUUUUUUAAAAAAAAAAUACCUUAUUUCAUUCAUAUCAUAAGUUGUUUUUUUUUUUUUUUUAUCAAUUUAAUACUUUCACAAUUGAGAUGAAAACCAGUUUGAGAAAAAAAAAAAUCUAAGCUUGAAUUGGUCAAUAAUAUAAUUACAAAGAUUUUUCAAAAUGUUUAGGAGUUCAUAUAAUUGAAGUAUCCCUUUGUUUUGAGUUAAAGAGAAAUAACAUUCUAAAUAAAAUAAGGAAACUAAUCAAUUAUCAGGUUGAUUGAUCGAGAAUGGCUUAAGGAUUAUUUGUGCUUCCAUUAGCAAUGAUCACUAGUUAACUAUUGAGGUCAACCGGUUGAGCAAAUGUGACCCAAUAGUCACUUAUUUGCUUGCUACUAAUGACUAUGUUAUUUGUGCUUUCAUUAGCAAUGAUCACUAGUUAACUAUCAAGGUCAACCAGUCAAGCAAACAUGACCCAAUAGUCUUUUACUUUACUUGCUACUAAUGACCAUGUUAUAUGUGCUUUCAUUAGCAAUGACUAUGUUAUUUGUGCUUUCAUUAGCAAUGACUACUAGUUGACUAUCAAGGCCAACCANNNNNNNNNNNNNNNNNNNNNNNNNNNNNNNNNNNNNNNNNNNNNNNNNNNNNNNNNNNNNNNNAAUUAUCAAGGUCAACCGGUUGAGCAAACAUGACUCAAUAGUCACUUACUUUACUUACUUGCAACUAAUGACUAUGUUAUUUAUUCUUUCAUUAGCAAUGACCACUAGUUAACUAUCAAGGUCAACUAGUCGAGCAAAUAUGACCCAAUAGUCACUUUACUUGCUUGUUACUAAUUAUUAUGUUAUUUGUGCUUUCAUUAAUAAUGACAAGUUAACUAUCAAAGUCAACCGGUCGAGCAAAUAUGACCCAAUAGUCACUUGCUUGCUACUAAUGACUGCAAUUGAUCAAUCACGUCUAAGUCACAUGUUAGACAUAAACUAAAAGUGUGUUUGGUAGUGAUUUUUUAAAGUAUUUUAGACAAUUUGAGACUUGGAAAUUUUUAUCUUAUGAGUAUUAGAAAAAUUAGAAACACUUCAUAGAAUCACUAUAAAAUGUUACCUAUAUCAAACAACUAAUUUACUUGUACAACUCCUUUAGCAAACUCUUAAAACUUCAUUUAUUGCAAAGUUACUUGUUUUAAAUUAUUCUUUAAUCAUUAAUUGACCCUUAAAAUUAUUUUAAUUGCACUAUGAACUAAAAACUUGCAUUUCAUAUUAAAGAAUAUCAGAAAACAUACAUACUUAAAAGUGAUUUUAGGUAAUGAAUUGAGCAUUUAUGACAAAGGUCCUUUGGCUCAGAAACCUCGAUUAACCUGGGCAACUUUGUCGUUGAGAUCCCAAAUCUUCAGGAAGAGCUUGUGGCUAAACACGGAAAGAAGGACUAACACUGGAAAAAUGUACGUCUUUUUUACAGUUGUGGAAAGGAGAUGAAGAUCAUUGAUUUUUUAAUCCACCAGGAUCUCUAAAGUUGGACGUCUUCUAUCGUUGCUGGCCCCUGUUAAAAUUGUGUGACUAGAACUUGCUUCUUUUACAGCAUUGGAUUCUGGUUGAACUGGUGGUACUAUCGGCUCCAGUACAUUUAAAUUGUUGGGGUUCACAAAUUUUUAUUUUAUUUUUUAAAAUUUUAAAUACGGGUUUUGUCCAUGGUGUCGGGGACUGUAUACACAUAGGGGUGCUAAGUAUAGACGAAAAAACUAAAAGAGUCUUAGGGUGUAAAGGCUAUGGAUUCUCAGGCUCUGCGAUCAAAACAAGAUGAUGCUAAGCUUCACAUAGUCUUGUUUCCAUGGCUGGCUUUUGGCCACAUGAUACCAUACUUGGAGCUGGCCAAGCUCGUUGCUCAGAGGGGUCAUCAUGUCUCCUUCGUUUCCACCCCUAGGAACAUCGAUCGCCUCCCAAAGCUGCCUCCUAAUUUAACACCUUUCAUCUCUUUCGUAAAGAUCCCCUUACCCCAUGUGCCAAACCUGCCGGAGAAUGCUGAAGCCACAACGGAUCUUCCGGAGAACAAGGUCCCGUUCCUGAAGCAAGCCUACAAUCUGCUAGAAGAAGGCAUAACUGGCUUCCUGGAUGCUGCGGCUCCCGAUUGGGUUCUUCAUGAUUUUACUGCUUAUUGGUUGGUGCCUAUCGCCACCAAACUGGGUAUAGCAUGCGGAUUUCUGAGUAUAUUCACAGCGUCUGCUCUGUGUUUUUUCAAUCCUAGCGGUCAAGAUCAUCGUACGGAGCCGGAGGAUUUCACCGUUGCCCCCAAGUGGGUGCCCUUUCCUUCAAGAGUAGCGUUUCGGUACUUCGAGGUCGUGAAGAUCUUCAACAAUGCUAUAGCGGGUGAUGCUUCCGGUACCUCGGAUAUGCACCGGUUCGAGGCCUGUCUCAGAGGCUGUGAUCUGUUGGCAGUGAGAAGUUGCACGGAGUUGGAACCCGAGUGGUUGCGCCUUCUGGAGCAGCUUUACCAGAAACCAGUCGUUCCGGUGGGUCAGCUCCCUCCCAUCUUGCCUCACGGUGGGGACGAUGACGAGGAUGAGACGUGGCUGGAAAUCAAAGGUUGGCUGGACAAACAAGCAGGAGGAUCGGUGGUGUAUGUGGCAUUCGGGAGCGAGGCCAAACCCAAUCAGACUGAACUCACCGAAAUCGCACUUGGAUUGGAGCAGUCCGAGUUACCCUUCUUCUGGGCGCUAAAAUUGAAGCGCGGGCCUUGUGAUAUUGAGGUGAUCCAGCUGCCAGAAGGAUUCGAGGAGCGAACCAAGGGUCGCGGGGUGGUGUGCACGAGUUGGGCGCCUCAGCUCAAGAUACUGAGUCACCCCUCCAUUUGUGGGUUCUUGAGUCACUCAGGGUGGACCUCUGUGGUGGAGGCACUACAGUUGGAGAGACCUCUAAUUCUGUUGACCUUUUUAGCGGACCAAGGCUUGAACGCUAGCUUUUUGCGGGAGAAGAAGAUGGGGUGCUUGAUCCCCAGAAAUGAGGAAGAUGGGUCGUUUACAAGGGAGGCAGUGGCCCGGUCCCUGAGGCUGGUGGUGGUGGAGGAAGGAGACAAG